rnacentral:misc_RNA from 1 species
GUGAAUCAUCGAAUUUUUGAACGCAAAUUGCGCUUCCUGGUAUUCCGGGAAGUAUGCCUGUUUGAGGGUCAGUAUUAAUAAACACUCGGUUUAGUUAAAAUUUGUGUCGUCUUUGGAGUUUGGGCUAUCUUAAAAUUUUUGGUUAAGAGGUUUAAAAUUGCCUUUUUUUGCGCAUUUCUAAACGUACAUAAAUUUUUUUUAUUUGUCUAUUCUUAAUGCCAAACU